rnacentral:rRNA from 1 species
GAUGAACGCUGGCGGCGUGCCUAAUACAUGCAAGUCGAGCGGACGGACGAGAAGCUUGCUGCUCUGAUGUUAGCGGCGGACGGGUGAGUAACACGUGGAUAACCUACCUAUAAGACUGGGAUAACUUCGGGAAACCGGAGCUAAUACCGGAUAAUAUUUUGAACCGCAUGGUUCAAAAGUGAAAGACGGUCUUGCUGUCACUUAUAGAUGGAUCCGCGCUGCAUUAGCUAGUUGGUAAGGUAACGGCUUACCAAGGCAACGAUGCAUAGCCGACCUGAGAGGGUGAUCGGCCACACUGGAACUGAGACACGGUCCAGACUCCUACGGGAGGCAGCAGUAGGGAAUCUUCCGCAAUGGGCGAAAGCCUGACGGAGCAACGCCGCGUGAGUGAUGAAGGUCUUCGGAUCGUAAAACUCUGUUAUUAGGGAAGAACAUAUGUGUAAGUAACUGUGCACAUCUUGACGGUACCUAAUCAGAAAGCCACGGCUAACUACGUG